rnacentral:rRNA from 1 species
UACGGAGGGGGCUAGCGUUGUUCGGAAUUACUGGGCGUAAAGCGCGCGUAGGCGGCUUUGUAAGUUAGAGGUGAAAGCCCGGGGCUCAACCCCGGAACUGCCUUUAAGACUGCAUCGCUUGAAUCCAGGAGAGGUGGGUGGAAUUCCGAGUGUAGAGGUGAAAUUCGUAGAUAUUCGGAAGAACACCAGUGGCGAAGGCGGCUCACUGGCCUGGUAUUGACGCUGAGGUGCGAAAGCGUGGGGAGCAAACAGG